rnacentral:lncRNA from 1 species
GCACCGACCCUGGGCUCUUUAUACUUGGUGCCACUGGCCACCGACCCACCCCUUUCCCUCCUCCUCUACCCCUCCCCCGAGGAGAGGGAGGGAGGGGCGAGACCCUGAUUGACCCGCGGGCCUCGGCCACGCGCGCACUUGGGGACCUCACUAUGCACGCGGCGGUGCCGGACCGGGACGUGCUCAGGGGAGCCUCCCCCUGAGCAUCCUCACGUGACUGCUUCUGCCCAGAACCUUCAUCCUGGGCCUCCACCUUGGGCUCACCAAGCUCAGCGCCCCUUCGGUGGCACAAACCUGGAAAAGUCUGGAAAUCAUCUAUAUAGGCUGAAGACUCAUGCCCAGCAGAGGAAUCUUGGAAGUCCACAGUGGAAGAGAUCUGAGAGGAAGCCAUACUGUGGGCUAUCAAGGACUUUUUUAGAAGCAGACACUUUAUCUGUGAAUAUUUUCAAGUGACAUUCUUUGUCUACUGUACUGAGGUCAUUGAGGUAGGUAUAUUUUACAUAUUUGCUCCAGGCAUCCAGAAGGGUUGACAUAUGUAGGUGUGAUGAGCAGGAAAAUGAAGAGUGAAAGGAAGGGAAAAGAAGAAUAACUCUUUCUUGAAGCAAAGUUUCAUUAAAGAACUAUAAGUAGAAGCUGUUGUUUUGUCUGCAGACUAUUCCUGAGAUGUCUGGAAUUCAUAAAAAAAAUUCUAGGAAGUUUGAUAGUUUCUUAGC